UCAGGUCAUGUUUUCCAGCCCUCCAACCCUUCGUGUUGCUGCUUAUCCUGUCAGAGGAGCAGCACCCAAAGCUGGAUGUGCCUCUGCACUGAGGUGUCACUGAGAACACCAAAAGGACCUGCAAGAUGUCUUGUAGUGAACCAUUGGAAACUGCUUUCAGACUGCAGAUUCCAACCAGAUUUGUGUCAUGACUUCAGCCAGGGCAUUCUUCACCCACGUGGGACAAUGUCAGGAGCCUCAGUGACAUCGAGGCAGGGUCGGGAAUGUUCUUGGUGAUAAGCAGACACAUGAGAAUGCUCUGAGGAGAGGGGUGCAAGGCAGUGCAGAUUUACAACACUGAGACCCUUCAGAGCAGCACUAAUGCCCAGUGGAGUUCUCCAGCCUAAAUGUCUCGUUGUCAGUGGAAGAAACAAAGGUAAUGUAAUUUGAACGCUGGAUGCAACAGCGUAGGCUGCUCUCCAGGCUGAUUCUCCCUGCUCCAAAUGGGAAUGAUGGCUCCAAACAGACUCACCAGCACAGACUGAAGAGCAGACAUCUGAUUUGGGAGGAAAUGGCCAAUGUCUCAGCUUUUUUCCCCAUGAUUUGUUUCUUCCUGGAAAGGA